CCGGCCAUGGAUGACUCUACUCCGAACUUCUUUCGGACUUCGUCAAUGUUCGAGCUUCUCCAAUAAUGGGAUUUUUGCAGUAACCAAACUCCAUCUAAGUUUCUACGGCAGUUGACCACCCUCCGGAUUCCAUCCAAACUCCUACAGGAACCGAAUUUCCACCGAACUCCUACAGUGGAUGGAUCCCAGAUGAAUUGCAACAACGAAAGGGCUCCACCAGUCG
rnacentral:lncRNA from 1 species